UACGUAGGUGGCAAGCGUUGUCCGGAAUCACUGGGCGUAAAGCGCGCGCAGGCGGCGAUCUACGUCUGGGGUGAAAGCCUGGAGCUCAACUCCGGGACUGCCUUGGAUACGGGAUCGCUUGAGGAUUGGAGAGGCAAGGGGAAUUCCACGUGUAGCGGUGAAAUGCGUAGAUAUGUGGAGGAACACCUGUGGCGAAGGCGUCUUGCUGGCCAAUUUCUGACGCUGAGGCGCGAAAGCGUGGGGAGCAAACAGG
rnacentral:rRNA from 1 species